CAAUAGCGUAUAUUAAAGUUGUUGCGGUAAAAAAGCUCGUAGUUGGAUUUCUACCGAAGAUAGCCGGUCGGGUCUUCGACCUUGUAUCUGGUUUUGUCUUUGGUAUCCUCAUAGGGAACGUUUCUGCGCUUUAUUGCGUGGUGCGGUAUCUAUGACUUUUACUUUGAGGAAAUUAGAGUGUUCACGGCAGGCAAACGCCUUGAAUAUAUUAGCAUGGAAUAAUAACAUAGGAUCUUCGUCCUAUUUUGUUGGUUUCUAGGGCUAAGAUAAUGAUUAAUAGGGAUAAUUGGGGGCAUCUGUAUCAACGCGUCAGAGGUGGAAUUCUUGGAUUGUGUUGCGACAAACUACUGCGAAAGCAUUUGCCAAGGAUGUUUUCAUUGA
rnacentral:rRNA from 1 species